GGUUAUAUAUGCCACCCACCGUCCCUCCCUCCCUUUCCAUAACCAUUCAAAAAUUUUCUUAGGUUUGAAUCUAAAGUUUUUCUCUUAAAAUUGGUUCAUCCCUAAUGAUUUUUUAGCUUUUCAAACAUCGAAUUUUUCUUCAAUUUUAAAGAAAAUAAAAAAUUUCUUCAUCAUUUUAUUCAUUGUUCUUAAAAUUUGCAUUCUCGAAUUAGCUCCAUAGCUUGUGAGUUUCGUGAAAUUGAGUUUCAAAUCAAUCGAGAGCAUCUUCAAGCAAGGAUAAAGGCAAACAAAAGCUUAUUUGAGCUUUUGGCAUUGAAGUGAAAGCUUCAAGGUGAGUGAUCUGAUAUGCUGCAAUUAUGCACAAUUCAAUGUGUUAAAGGGGAGCUUAGGCACUAAUCACCUAUCCUAAGUUCCAAGAGUAAAUGAUUUUUCCUUGAGCUGUAAUAUUUUGCAAAUGAUGAUGAUUUAUGAUAAGAUAUGAAUAUGAUAUGUUAAAUAAAUGGAUGUAAAUAUGUAAGAAUAUGCUUAUUGAUCUGUUGGUUUAAUGCACACAUCUGAUAUGAAAGUGUAUGUGGCUUAAAGAAUAAA